GGCGAGGUCAAGUGGAGGGUCCUGAAGGGCGGAGCCUCAGACCAGGCGCGCUGCCCCCUAGGUUUGCGGGUGGUAUUCCAUGUAGCGUAGCGGUUCCGUCCACGCUGUAGGUGGCAGUAAGUGCAGAAACCCGGAUGUGUCGCUGGGGAAGAAAGGAUGAAGUUGGGAGGGGAGCCAACACACUCUCUCCCACUCCAGUGACUGGGCAAAACCUCAACUGCGAGGCCCAAGCAGGCCCUUUGUGCUUGUCCUACCAACUUCUGCCUCCACAUCGAGGAGUCUCUUCUGUUCAGGCUGUCAACUCAGGAAUUAAAUUCCUCAGAUGACCCACUGCUACCUCCCCUGCCCUACAUGUGACCAAUGAUGGGUAAUAUCUCCAGAGACGGGACAACCUGAGACAGGCCAUGGAGUGGUUUCUCAGUGAGCUAAACACCUGGUACUCAAUGACGGGAGAGGUCUGGGUCAUCCAACGUUCAUCAUCCUCCUCAACUCUUAGAGAGAAACCAGCAGGCCUAGUCCUUCCUUCAGUACUACCUGACCCGGAAGGAGCCGGCACUGCUGCUACUGGAUCCACGGCU